rnacentral:rRNA from 1 species
AGCUUAUUUUGCGCAGCUUAGGUGGGAGGCUAUGAACCUUUUCUUCUGGGAAGAGGGGAGCCAUCAGUGAGAUACCACUCUUGGUAAGCUAGAGCGCUCAGUCUUCACCGUCAUCCGGUAAGACGACAGUUUCAGGCGGGCAGUUUGACUGGGGCAGUCACCUCCCAAAAGGUAAUGGAGGUGUGCAAAGGUUCCCUCAGGCUGGACGGAAAUCAGCCAUAGAGUGUAAAAGCAUAAGGGAGCUUGACUGCGAGACUGACAUGUCAAGCAGAGACGAAAGUCGGCUUUAGUGAUCCGACGGUGCUGUGUGGAAAGGCCGUCGCUCAACGGAUAAAAGUUACUCUAGGGAUAAC